rnacentral:rRNA from 1 species
GGAAUCUUGCGCAAUGGGCGAAAGCCUGACGCAGCGACGCCGCGUGAGCGAUGAAGGCCUUCGGGUUGUAACGCUCUGUGGGGAGGGAAGAAUAAGGCUGAGCUAAUACCUCCGCUGAUGACGGUACCCCCUUCGACAGCACCGGCUAACUCUGUGCCAGCAGCCGCGGUACUACAGAGGGUGCAAACGUUGUUCGGAAUUACUGGGCGUAAAGCGCGUGUAGGCGGCUACGCAAGUCGGAUGUGAAAUCCCGCAGCUCAACUGUGGAAGUGCACUCGAUACUGCGAAGCUAGAGUCCUGGAGAGGAAGGUGGAAUGCUUGGUGUAGAGGUGAAAUUCGUAGAUAUCAAGCGGAACACCGGUGGCGAAGGCGGCCUUCUGGACAGUGACUGACGCUGAGACGCGAAAGCGUGGGGAGCAAAC